rnacentral:tRNA from 1 species
UGGGCUAUAGCCAAGCGGUAAGGCAACGGUUUUUGGUACCGUCAUUUCGCUGGUUCGAAUCCAGCUAGCCCAGCCA